CCGCGCUCCCGGCUCAGCACGGUGUCCCGGGUGCUGCAGCCAACUGCCGAGCAACUUCGGGUCAUCUUCUUGCUACGUGGGGCUCCACUUUGGGUGGUCCUACGACAGCAUUAAUGGUGAUAAAUUUAGCUCCGCCCGUGGAUUCGGCGGCUACGACCUUUAUUUGUCGGAAAAGGCGGGCUCUUAAGGUGCAAGACUCCUACUCUUCCUCUUCGUGGGCGCUGCGCUUGACGCCGUGACCAAUCACAGGCCACGUCGCGUCGCUGCAGCCAAUCGGAAGAGCCUAGAACAUUAAGACGAGCAUUUGACGACUCCUCCUCUCUGUUCCAGGGUGCUUAGUGGAUUUAGUUGUUUAUGGUCUAGUUUUGCUACUGUUUCAACACGCACCGGGUACAUCCGGUGCCAUCGUGGUUCUUGUGAGGCAAGGCCUGAGAAUGCGAAGCGGGGAGGUAGGAGUAAUAUUGAGGUGAAACUAGGGGCAUGCCGUUAGGUCUCCGGUACGAACUCUUAAAGGGACUGGAUAUGGGUGAAGAGAUGGGAGGGAGAGCGAUAAACGCGAUACCCUAGAAAUGUUAAAGACAAUAUUGGGCCCCCAAAUAAAUUAUCUACUGAGAGGCAUAUAAUUUCCUUGCAUUUUAUUUGGUAGUUCCCUGAUGUGGCGAUGUUAUAGGAGCUGUUGGGAUGGUUGGCCUUAGAUAUGUGACCCCGGAGGAGCAUGAAUAAGAGUGUUAAUACGGGGAUACGUCGUUUUUUAAUUCAACGAACAUUUUCUACAAGACCGUUUGUCACUGUGGGGCAAUUAAGGAAACAAGGUAAGAUCCUUGGGGCACCACAUGUCUAGUGGGGAAUCGUCAAUAUAAUUAGUAAGAGGGUCAGGACAGAAAGCGCAAUGAAAUGAUUUGGGUUGGGAUGUGGCGCAUUGUAGAUAGUUUUCAAGAAGCGAGAAGGUCUUCAAAAGAUGUCUUUGUUAAGCUCUAUAUGUUUACGGUAUGAGAUUUCAAUUGUCAUGGAAGAAACAAAAUGGGGCCAAAAUAGGGCAUAAUUUCUGUCUUUGGAGAGACACUUAGCAUAUUAAGUGGCUUCUUUCUCUCCUGCUUACAUUGGAGGCCCAUUAAGGAAACCAGAAAAGUUUGUACUUUUCAUUCAGUUUUUUCAUUUCCUUCUCCUGUAGGCGAGGGUGAUUCCAACAUUUCCAAGCCAGAUUGCGUCUUUUUCCCCUUGUUGUUUUCUUAGUCCAGAUUCCAGCCAAAAGGUACUACUUAUUGACAUCUGCUUUCCAUUAUAAUAUGCUUGUAUCUUGUUUGAACGAGAUUAACAGAGCUUUUGUGUAUGUCCCUUUCUUAAAAGUCAUGUGGCCUGAGGAUAGUCCAUGACUUUGGGGAAAAUUGAACCAUGGGCUGUGUGCUUGCUUGGAUGUUAGACGUGCAAAGGGUAGGAUCUGGAUUAAAAUUAUCUUCAGUCUGUUAGGCUAUUAGAAACUUUCUUAGUACUCAACCAGUUAAGACCCAAAUGAGGCUAAGUAGAAAUACAUAACAGUUUUAUCUUUAAGGAAAAAAUUGGUUGCCUUGUUUUUUUGGUAACAGUUUUGUUGAGAUAUAACUCCUACACCAUACAGUUAGCCCAUAUAAAGUGUGCAUUAAGUUUUAGUAUAUUCAAGAGUUGUGCAGUCAUCACCAUGAUCAAUUUUAGGACAUUUUCAUCACCACCCCUCCCCCCCCCCCAAAAAAAACCACAUUCUCAUUAACAGUCACUCCCUAUAUCUUCCCUAUCCUCUGUUCUUGGAAACCACUAUUUUUUUUUUUGUCUAUGUAGAUUUGCCUAUACAAUUUCAUAUAAAUGGAAUCAAAAACUAAUAUACGGCCUUUUGCAAGCAGCUUCUUUCAUUUAGAUAUUUACUUAUUUAUUUUGAAAGAGAGAUUUAGAGCAUAAACAGAGGAGAGGUAGAGGGAGGGGAAGAGAGAAAGAAUCCCAAGCAGGUUCCACACUGUGAGCACAGAGCCCAGUACGGGGAACUCACGAGCUGUGAGAUCAUGACCAGACCCAAAAUCAAGACAUUUCUGAGUUACACAGGCGCCCUGAGUACUUCCAUUUUUUUUUUUUAAUUGUCAAAAGAUGUUCCAUUGUAUGUAUAUACUGCUAUGAUGAUUUUAUUUAACCAUUUAUCAGUUGACCAUUUGAGUUGUUUCCAUUGUGGGGGAUUAUUAUGAAUAAUUCUGCUGUGAAAAUUAGUGUACAAGUUUGUGUAUGGACAUAUGUUUUCAUUUCUUUUGAGUAUAUACCUGAAGGUGGAAUCGCUAGGUCAUAUGCUAAGUGUUAAUGUUUAACCUCAAGGAAAUGCCAAACUGUUUUUCCAAAGUGCCUGGACCAUUUUACAUUCCCAUUAGCAGUGGAUGAGGGUCCCAUUUUCUCCACGUUCUUGUGUGAAGUGGUAUUUCAUCGUGGUGGUUGCCUGAUUUUUAAGGACUCCAGGUUUGCAGGGAACCUGCUAGAGGAUGCUCCUUGCAUGUAGAGACCAAUGUGUAAGGUGAAUUUGUCUUUUCAGGCUCUACCACACAAAUACAUGCCCCUGAAAAAUACCUCAUGUUCAGCAAAAUUAUGCAUGUGAAAGUAGUGCUUGUAGGAAAAAGAAAAAGCAUUGAGUACUCAAAAUCUGUGCAAUUGGAUAAGUUCUAAAAUAGUAAUCAGUACCUGGAAAGUACUCCUGUGCCCUCCUCUCACCCCUUAAGGGUAACUUAAAUGGACCUUACCGUAGGGUAUAUUAAAAGAGCAAGCCUGGUGGGUGCUAGACAUUACAGAUAGGAAGUGGAGCUCUGAGCUCAUAAGUUGCUAAACGGUACAGAGGGCAGGUGGGAGUAGCUGGGUGGGAGGGAAUCCCCAGGUGCAGGCUCUCAUUUUUCAUUUUCUUUUUUUUGUUGUUAUGUUUAUCUUUGAGAGAGAGGGACAGAGCAUGAGUGGGGGAGGGACAGAUGGAGGGGGACACACAGAAUCCGAAGCAGGCUCCAGGCUCUGAGCUGUCAGCACAGAGCCUAACGUGGGCCUCGAACCCACGAACCACAAGAUCAUGACCUAAGCUGAAGUCAGACACUUAACCAACUGAGCCACCCAGGUGCCCCAAUCUCAUUUUUCAUUUUCUUAAGUUAGAGUUGAAAGUACCCCUGCUGCCAGUUCAGCAUCAGAGUUCAGAGGGAAGGGUUUUUUAUUUUAAUUUUCUUUUAAGUGGAUUCCAGAUAUUGUGGCUGCCCAAGGAUAGAUGAAACCGUGGCUCUCACAUUAUUCUGAAAGCAUUCUUGAAAUUAUUAAUUACAAAUGAGUUACUGAAAACUGCUAUGCUGCAAAACAGAUGUACUUAAAUGUAAACUGGUUAAAUGAAAACUCACUUUAUGGAAGCCACAAGGGGUCUAGGUUUUCUUAAUGUACUCCUGGAUAGGGAAAUAGGUAAUUCCUCAUAAAAGCAUGCUUUUUUUUUUUAGUUGUAGUUAUGUAUCUUUAUGUUCGUUUAUAACUUGUGCAUUUUUGUUGCUGUUUUUUACUGUUUUACUAGUGACGUUGAGGUUCUCAGUUUAAUCAUUUGAUUGUCUUUGCUUCUUCCAAUAACUUCAUAUCCAGUGAUUAAACCUUUUCACUGCUGUUCACAUAAUGAACCGUUGUGAUUAUUGAAUACAUUAAUGAGGAUAUGUAAACUGUAUUAAAGAUAUUGGGAAAAUGCAUGGACUGUUGUGCAUUGUAAUAUAAAAGAAAAUAUCUCUUUUUAGGAAUUACAUUCUUGGAGAUGUUGGAAAAAGAUUCCUGGGACUUCAAAGAUAAUCACUCCAGAUAUACAGGGGAGGUAGUAUAUCUUUUUUUAAAUGUAUUAAGUGUUCCCAGAACAAUGGUAGUGCGUUGGAAAUGGCAGAUUAUCUAAGUAAAGAUUUACGAAGACUUUGGUGAAAUCUAAUUUCCUGUUACAGAAUUUUAUUAAUUUGGUCACUUGGAGAAAAAAGAACAACUAAUGCUUCUUGAACCACUACGUGCCAGGCAUUGUGCUAAGCAUUGUAUAGACACACAAGUUUGUUUUAUAAACAAAUGUAUUUCUCACAACAACCCUAGGAAAGCAAAUAGACCUUUUGCCUUCUAGGACUGGUAUCUUCCUUGUUGAACACCUACUCUUUUGUCAGAUUCUUAUUUCUACUAGAACCUUUAUUUAUUGUCCUGUUGAAUUAAAAUGUAUUUCUGGUAACUGACUUACAUUCUUGCUGAAUUUUUCACCGUUUCAUUCAGAAAGCCUUCGGGUUUUGAAAUUAUUGGUGGCCAACUUAAAAACUGUUCCCGAAUCUGACCCUUUCCUAAAACUUCAGACCUUUCCAGCUAAUUCAUAAGUUGUACAUUUUGCUUUUUGAAUAUGGAUUGUGACCCUCUGUAUGAAUUAUUUAUUACUAUGUAAAAGUUAUUCAAAACUUAGUAGUUUACAACAACACUUACCUUACAGUGGGAGGAGGGCAAAGCAGAGAGACAUCAUCUUCUGGGCUCUCACUUGGCAAGCCUUGGUUUCUUGAUGGCUGUUGACUGAAGACUUCAGUGCUUCACCAUGAGAACCUCUCCAUAGGCUGCCUGAGAACUCUCGCAACAUGACAACUAUCUUUCCCCAGAGGGAAUGAUCCAAGAGAGAAAUGCCAAGUUAACAUGUAAGUCGACACAUAUGAGGGUGUGAAUACCAAGAGGUGGGAGAUCAUUGGGGACCAUCUUGGAGGCUGACUAUCACCCUUUACUCUUUUUUUUUUUUUUUAAACUGCUUCAAUUUAUUGAAUCAAGAGAUUUAACAUUAGACCCUCUGGUCAGGUAAUGAGAAGUAUGAGAGCAUAUGUAUUCAAAUAAGUGCUCUCAUUUCUAAGAUGCACGGUUUCUUGCCCGUGAAUAUAUAAAUUCCAUAAGUGAUGCCACUCCUAUUGGAAAUUUUCUAGAGAAUAUAUAAGAAAGCUUAUUUUAUAGAUAGAGAAUAUUGGACUUUGAUCAUAUAUGUUUUUUUUUCUUGGAUCCAUUUCUCCUCUCCCAACUCCUCCUUAGGUGAAGGUGGUUAGAGAAGCUGGAAGUAGACUAUAGAGAGAAAUUGAGUACCCCUAUCCCUGGUAUUUUGCUUGGGGUGCAGACUGACUUGGAAUGGUUGAAAUUUCUGUUUAGAGUUUUCUAAGGAAUGCAAUCCAAUUACUUAAAGGCACUUACACAUAUAUUUGACAUUGGAUGGAAUAAAGGUAUAAAUACACAGCAGCAGCUUUAGAGCGAUUUGUCCUUUUCCUCAAAAGCUUGAUAUUUAUCCAGUUUGGUGAGUAUAUUUCCUUUUCUUUCUGUUGCUCCCCCCUCCCACCACGGUCUUUUAUCUCUCUUGAUGUGCAAAAUACAGACUUUGCCAAGCCCCUAAUUGGGGCAUUCUGAGCAGAAUGCCCCUAAUUGGUAGAAUUCUAAUUUGUGCCUGAGAUUUGUAAUCUUUUGAGUCUUCUGUUCCCUUAAUUGCUGCUUAAAAGUUCUUUGUUAGCAGUGACAACUCUUUUCCUUUAAAGCUUAAGUGCUUCUGGUUAUUUUGGAGACCUUGUGUAAUAACAAAAAGCAUUACGUGAAAAACAAGAUACAACCAGUUUUGGGAUGUGUUUGUAUUAGGUAUGGUUACCCUUUCUAUGUCAAGCUUAAUAUUAAGACAUUUCUAAGUUAGCAUAAGGUAAUCUGUGCGAAGUAGUUAAAUGAUACACUUGAGAUUAUCUUGGUAUGAUUUUUCCAAUUGGAAGUAAAAUUGGAGGUGUUACCGGUUCAUGAAAAUUAAAAUUUAUAGAAAUGUGUAUAUAUUAUGUGUUCUUUAAAAAGGGCUAAACAGGGGCGCCUGGGUGGCGCAGUCGGUUAAGCGUCCGACUUCAGCCAGGUCACGAUCUCGCGGUCCGUGAGUUCGAGCCCCGCGUCAGGCUCUGGGCUGAUGGCUCGGAGCCUGGAGCCUGUUUCCGAUUCUGUGUCUCCCUCUCUCUCUGCCCCUUCCCCGUUCAUGCUCUGUCUCUCUCUGUCCCAAAAAUAAAUAAACGUUGAAAAAAAAAUUAAAAAAAAAAAAAAUAAAAAAAAAAAUAAAAAGGGCUAAACAAUGAAAAACUUAUGACUAAAGCUCAAGUUGAAAAUAGGAAGAAAAUAUAAAUGUCCAAUGAUUAAACUUUUUCCACUGCUGUUCACAUCAUGAUCUGUUGUGAUUAAUGUAUGUGGAUGAGGACAUAAUGGAAAAAGAAAAUCCUAGUGGGAGAAAAAAAUUAUAGAUAUGAUGUAAUUUUUUUGUAUAUUGAUUUACUUGUAAAUGUGUUCCUGUUUUAGGAAUGAAAUUGAAGGGUGUUUUUGUCAGAUUUAUCUGAUAAAGAAUUUGAACAUUUAUAUAGUAAGGUAAGUGGUUUAUAAAUUUGCUAGUUUUGACAAAAGAACGGACAAUCAGAUUUGAGCAAAAAAUUGAUAUUUGAGCAUAAUGUGGACAUUGUACUCAAUUAAAUUUUUUUCCUUAUUUUUUCAUUUUUCAAAGAUAACAAGAAUAUGAUUUCAAAGAUAAUUUUCUGAAUCAAUAGAUUUGAUGCAGGAUAGGCAAUUGGGUGGCUGGGGUCAGGACUUUUAACCUUGAUGAUUAUCUUUUCUCAAAAAUAAUGGUGUAAUUCAGCCUCUGAGGUUCUUAGAGAUCAUAUAUUCCAGGGUUUAAAUUUGCUGAACUUUUGUAUGUCCUAUAAAUGACUCUUUGAUAUGCCACUGAAUGACCAUCCUAUAACUUAAUCUUUAUUCAAGAACAGUAGAUAAGUAGGUGGUUAGAAGCUGGGAAUCUCAAAUUUAAUACCAGAUUAAUCUGUCACUAAUUAGGCAUGUUGUCUUGGGGUGUUUCAAAUUUGAGGAAUAUAAAGAGGAAAAAUUCUUGCAAAUACUCAGUAUUGAUUUAAGUUUAUUUUCUAUUUCAUAAAUUUCUACAAACAUAAAAGUUGAUAUAAAUUUUGUUGACGGGCCUUAAUCAAAAGAUUUACAAAAUAAGUGCAUUCAAAGACAAAACAUUAAAUGGGAUGGAUGCUACUGUUACACAGGAGAAAACAUGGUACUGGCUGGUGUGGAAUAAGUUGUAAAUACAUACAGUCUUGUGCUUUGUGAUGAUUAUAAAGCUUUAUAAUCAGGACAACAGUAGAGUUGUCCAGAACUUUACUCUUUUGCAGACCUCAAAAUUGUUGAAAUGAGGGAAGGGGCCUAAGUUCUCAAAAGGAUGUCUUUGGACUGUCUGCAAAUGCUAAUUUGAAGAAUUCUGUAUUACCUUGUCUCCAAACAUUUUUCCAUCUCCAGUGGGAAUUCACUCUGGAACUAACAUUCCUUUGAGAAAAUCUUCAGUUUCUAUUUUGAUCUAUGGUUAAGUUUGGCUAGUAGUUAACUAAAUUGGAUUAAAAGUUGAUUAUUUUGUGAACUAAUGUAAGUUUUUCUUUUUAGAUACAGGUGGUCCUUACUUUGCACCGUUCCAUUAUACAUGAAGAUCAGUUUUCACAGUUUAGUUAAAUAACACCAAUCCUCCUACAACACAGUUGUGAUUUCAGUUACAAUAGUAACUGAAUUGUUGCAUAAGUUUUGUUGCUAGCUCUUUAUUCCACAACUGAUUAUGCAUUAUAAAAGAUGUGCAUCAUGGUCAGUAACCAGUUACAUCACAUCUUUCAAAGUCUCUUGGUGAUUGAUCACUAAACAUCUAUUAGUUCACAGAGUAAAGCAUGUAGUUGUAUUGCUUACUUGUUUCCCAGUAAUAAACCCAUGCAACAUUGUACAAAACUGGAUAAUCAGAAGAGGGAAUUGGCAGGGCAGCAAAGAAACAAGUGAUUUUUAACACUGGAAGUGAAAUUGGAUUUGAAAAUGGCGACAGCAUAGUGAAGACGAGACGAGACCCAGGCCUACAUAAAGCUGCAGCAGAAACUGUGGUUUAAAAGUUCGAGGAAUAUAAAAAGCAAAGUAAAGUUGCUUCAACAUUUUUUAGUUUAAAUUACACUAGGAACAGAAAGCCACUUACAGUUGAAAUGGAGUGCUUGCUUCUACUUUGGAUGGAGGACUGUAAUAAAAAAUCCUAAUCAGUUUGGCUAGCAUUCAGGCCAGAGUGUUGAGGUUAGUUGCUGCACUGAAGGAAAAUGGUAAUUACCAGGAGACUAAAAAAGAACGUUUUUUGCUGGGAAAGGCUGGUUUCAUCGUUCAGAAGUCUGGAGCGCCUGCGUGGCUCAGUCGGUUAAGGUUAAGCAUCGUUUGGAGGUCGGCGUGAAUAGAAUAAUGUUCCACUGGUGAAGCUGCAUGUUCAGAUAAGGAUGCUACUGGGAAAUUUGCACCCAUGUUCCAAGAAUCACAGGCAGUCCUUGCUUUGCACAGUGGUAUGAGACUACUGUGCAAAACUUCAUAGGAUUUGGCUGGAAUGUAAAUGGAGUUCCGGAAGAUAUGACUGUGGGAAUGUUUACACUGCUGCCAUUCAGGAAGUAGUUCUGGAUAUACAGCCAGAAGGUGCUGCUUCAGCAGCACAUACACUAAAAUUGGAUAUAUAGCCAGAAGAAUUUAGUGAAGGUGAACAUAGUUAUAAAUGAGGAAAGCAGUUGUGUGUUGUGAAGGAUGAAUACAUUUGGAGGAAGUGAUUCAGGUGAAAAACCACAUUAAAGGAACUCUGAGAUGUUUCAUGACACUGUGCAAAGCAUUAAACGUUAGAAAAAGAUCAAACUCAGAAAAGAGGAUGACAAUUUGCCAAGGCAUAGGAAAGAUGCUUGCUCCAUAUUGUAAGUUAUAUGAGAAAGCAAGCACUGUUCAAACUACUUGAGACUUGUUUAUAAAGAAAUAAAACAUUCUAAUUUUCAAUGUUUCUAAUGUUUUGAAUAUUUUAUUUUUUAUAUUUCAACCAAAAUCAGUUUCUAAUGUUUGGACAAAUUUUAAGGUUAUAGAACAAUCAGAUUGUGCUUUGCGCGGUUUCAGCUUUCAUAGUCCAAGUGAGAACUCCCUCUAUUUAAAACAAACUAGGAACUCUUUAUAUUUAACCAGAUAUAUCAAGUCUAGAAACAAAUACACUUUUCCCUUAGAUUACCAGUUAUAUUAUGACAGUUUUCAUACUGUCUUUGUAUGCAUGCUACUAUAACAAGGCUUUGAAAUAAAAAUUUAUACAAUACUGUAUGUCUCAUACUUUGACUUGUAGGCAAAUCCUAAUAGAUAGGGAUUGGCAAACUUCUUUUAUAAAUACAGCCAUACAGUGAAUAGGCUUUGCAGACUCUUUAAUGGUCUCUAGCAACUACUCAGUUUUGUCCAUGUAGCACAAAAACAGCCAUAGGCAAUACAGAG
rnacentral:lncRNA from 1 species